rnacentral:rRNA from 1 species
AGAGUUUGAUCAUGGCUCAGGACGAACGCUGGCGGCGNNNUUUACGCAUGCAAGUCGCACGGACCUUCGGGUUAGUGGCGGACGGCUGAGUAACGCGUAGCAAUCUGCCCAGUGGUGGGGGACAACCUGCCGAAAGGCGGCUAAUACCGCAUAAGUUCACCGGGUGAAAAUCCCGGUGAGGAAAGCAGUAAUGUGCCACUGGAGGAGCCUGCGUCCUAUCAGGUAGUUGGUGGGGUAACGGCCUACCAAGCCGAUGACGGGUAGCUGGUCUGAGAGGUCGACCAGCCAGAAGGGGACUGAGACACGGCCCCUACUCCUACGGGAGGCAGCAGCGAGGAAUCUUGGGCAAUGGGCGAAAGCCUGACCCAGCGACGCCGCGUGAGGGAAGAAGGUCUUCGGGUCGUAAACCUCUUUUAUGGGGGAAGAAGUUCUGACGGUACCCCAUGAAUAAGCCACGGCUAACUACGUGCCAGCAGCCGCGGUAAUACGUAGGUGGCGAGCGUUGUCCGGAUUUACUGGGCGUAAAGGGCUUGUAGGCGGUUCGUUAAGUCCGGUGUGAAAUCUCCCGGCUCAACUGGGAGGGGUCAUCGGAUACUGGCGGACUAGAGGGGGGUAGAGGAAAGCAGAAUUCCUGGUGUAGCGGUGAAAUGCGUAGAUAUCAGGAGGAAUACCAGUGGCGAAGGCGGCUUUCUGGGCCUACCCUGACGCUGAGGAGCGAAAGCGUGGGGAGCAAACCGGAUUAGAUACCCUAGUAGUCC